UUCGCAGGCGGCGUAUUAAGUCAGUGGUGAAAUCCCUCGGCUCAACCGAGGAACUGCCAUUGAUACUGGUAUGCUAGAGUAUAGUUGGCGUAGGCGGAAUGUAUCAUGUAGCGGUGAAAUGCUUAGAUAUGAUACAGAACACCGAUCGCGAAGGCAGCUUACGAAACUAUAACUGACGCUCAGGAACGAAAGCGUGGGGAGCGAACAGGAUUAGAUACCCUGGUAGUC
rnacentral:rRNA from 1 species